CCGAGUGAGGGCCUCCGGGCUCGACCUCCAACCCCAUGUUAUCCGACCCUGUUGCCUCGGGGGCGACCCGGCCCUUUCGGCGCCGGGGUCCCCGGUGGACCACUCAACACUGCAUCUUUGCGUCUGAGUCACAUAUUGAAUCAAUCA
rnacentral:misc_RNA from 1 species